GAUGAACGCUGGCGGCGUGCCUAAUACAUGCAAGUCGAGCGAACAGACGAGGAGCUUGCUCCUCUGACGUUAGCGGCUGACGGGUGAGUAACACGUGGAUAACCUACCUAUAAGACUUGGAUAACUUCGGGAAACCGGAGCUAAUACCGUAUAAUAUAUUGAACCGCAUGGUUCAAUAGUUUAAUCCGGUUUUUCUGUCACUUAUAGAUUGUUCCGCGCCGCAUUAGCUAGUUGGUAAGGUAACGGCUUACCAAGGCAACGAUGCGUAUCCGACCUGAGAGGGUGAGCGGCCAAACUGGAAAUGAGACACGGUCCAGACUACUACGGGAGGCAGCAGUAGGGAAUCUGCCGCAAAGGGCGAAAGGCUGACGGAGCAACGCCGCGUGAGUGAAGAAGGUCUUCGGAUCGUAAAACUCUGUUAUUAGGGAAGAAAAAAUGUGUAAGUAACUAUGCACGUCUUGACGGUAACUAAACAGAAAGCCACGGCUAACUACGUG
rnacentral:rRNA from 1 species